UACGUAGGGCGCAAGCGUUGUCCGGAAUUAUUGGGCGUAAAGAGCUCGUAGGUGGUUUGUUACGUCUGCUGUGAAAACCUAGGGCUUAACCCUGGGCCUGCAGUGGAUACGGGCAGACUAGAGGUAGGUAGGGGAGAAUGGAAUUCCCGGUGUAGCGGUGAAAUGCGCAGAUAUCGGGAGGAACACCUGUGGCGAAAGCGGCUCACUGGACCACAACUGACGCUGAUGCACGAAAGCUAGGGGAGCAAACAGG
rnacentral:rRNA from 1 species